rnacentral:lncRNA from 1 species
UGCUAGGUUACACGAAUGAUACUCAAUUGAUAACUCAUCUAGAGUAAACCCUAAGCUGUGUUUAUAUACACAGUUACAUGAUAUCUACUGAUUGAUUUAUAAAUAUCUUCUUCCUAAAAUAAUCUAAUCAGUAGCUAUCCUUCUGCUGUCCUGAUCUGCACAAUCUCUCUUGAUCUUUAUCUUCCUUAUUUAGUCAGAUAUGCUCCUGAAAAUCAGCCGCCUGCAAACUCUGAUCAUCGCUUAAACUCUGAUCC